rnacentral:rRNA from 1 species
UACGAAGGGAGCUAGCGUUGUUCGGAAUCACUGGGCGUAAAGCGCGCGUAGGCGGUCGUGACAAGUCACUUGUGAAAUCUCCGGGCUUAACUCGGAACGGUCAAGUGAUACUGUCGGACUAGAGUACAGAAGGGGCAACUGGAAUUCUCGGUGUAGCGGUGAAAUGCGUAGAUAUCGAGAGGAACACCUGCGGCGAAGGCGGGUUGCUGGGCUGAUACUGACGCUGAGGCGCGAAAGCCAGGGGAGCGAACGGG